rnacentral:rRNA from 1 species
GGAUAAACGCUGAAAGCAUCUAAGCGUGAAGCCCCCCUCAAGAUGAGAUUUCCCAUUUCUUCGGAAAGUAAGAUCCCUGAAAGAUGAUCAGGUAGAUAGGUUUGGAGUGGAAGUGUAGCGAUACAUGGAGCGGACAAAUACUAAUCGAUCGAGGACUUAACCAAAA